GUGCCCGUAGCUCAGUGGGAGAGCGCCUGCUUGACGCGCAGGAGGUCGUAAGUUCAAUCCUUACCGGGCACACCA
rnacentral:tRNA from 1 species